CUGAGGGGUAGGCAGGUGCUUCCGAAUCGCGGAAUGUAGGUGCUCAUAAGCUGGAGACCCACGGAAAGAACCUAGAAGCUCCGAGCGGUUGCAGACAGCACUGCAUUGAGCCAACGACUCCUGCUCUACUGAUGGUGAUUCCACAGCUUUGUGAGGAAUAAGUUAAGAUGAAUUUCCCCUGGACUUCUUUCUCUCUCCUGCCGCCUUGUGAAGAAGGUGCCUGCCUCCCCUUCCACCACGAUUCUAAGUUUCCUGAAGUCUCCCCAGCCAUGCUGAACUAAUGUUAUCUUAUCUGGAAGAAGAGGAAUAGGAAAGAAAAGGAGUCAGGAAUGGAUCUUACUCAGAAGGCUGACUAGACACAGCCAGGUGGAAGAGCUCCCACUGCGGGACCAAGAUGACUGGAAUGCCCCUAACAGAUCUUCAGAGGGAAGAAACCAGGAGUGGACAGAGAGAAGACACAGAAGCUGGGCUGAAGGUAGUGAAAGCUGGGAAUGUGGCACAGGACUACUGCACACCAGGUUUUGUUCCUGGCCCACAAUGGCUCUGGGGGAUCAGGUUGAAGGAAAAUUACCCUGGAUGGAAGAUCAGAGGUAUAGAAAGAAAUGGAGAGCAAAGAAAGAGAAUAUGAGCUCCUCCAGGGCCCAGACCUCUUUCCUGUAACAAGGCUCAGAAGUACACUAUUGUGAUGAAACUUAGUAAAACUGCCUACAUGGAAUUACACUGGAAGCCCUGUAGUAAGUGGACUAUGACCAACCAAAGCUGGAAUGGAGAUGUUUGAGAGGGACUCACUUCCUGCGUCAUCAAACCCCAUGGGCUGAGGAACUUUUGUCUAGGCUGCCACAGAAGCCUUCCCUGUUAUGUCCUGUGUGUGACUGCUUGUUCCCAUCUUCAGUGCCCUCCCUCUCCUCUUCAGGAAGAAGUUCCAGGCAGGCGGUACCUCACUGAGGCCGUGCAUGAAGCCUUGACACCCCUCCCUCCCUUGGUCUUGAGCCUGUUAGAAGAAUGCUGAGGUUUUGGGCCUCCACCCGGAGGUACCCAGCAGUAACUUCAAGGAGCUAAUGAGUAAAGCACAGUAAUGAGAAUAAAUCCCAAUGAGCUUAUUAAAAUAACUGAACCACAACUUUGGCAAGGGCAGGAACCAUUGUCUGGAACUUGUUUGUCCAUUUGCAGAGUAUUGUAGCAUGCCUUUGUAUAUCCCCUCACCCUUUCAGAACAGAGAGAUUAGCAACAAAAGACAGAUUUUUCAAAGCUACACACAGCCGUGAUUUAUAUCCCGCUCUAGAGACUGUUGGGAUGGCUUCUUUGGAUUGAAAAGGGUACCAGCCGAUCUCUGUUUUAAUGGGCCACCUGGGACUUUAGCUGUAGUGUGUGUGUAAAGCAGAAGAACUCUGAUCCAACCUCCAUCUUUUUUGGAAAGGCUUCUUUGUAAUUGCUUUGGACUUUGUGAAAUUCUUCUCUCAACAAAAGUAAAAAAUGGUUUCAAGUGCUAUAACCAUUUUAUCCUGGGAGUAUGUAUAACCAACAACAUGAAAUCCCCAGGUUGCCUUUUUUCAUUGCUGGGGUAAAGAUAAUGUUUGCAGAGCAUCUCCCAGGGUUAAGGUACUUUUGGGAACUUUAGAUAAUUAAUAUUCUUGGAGGACUUGCAUCCUUAGGAGAAGGGGGCUGCAGUUGCGUAGUCUCUAACUGGUUAGUUCCAUACAAGUUCCAUGUUAAUUACACCAAGGUUAGAGGGUGAAAAAUCACAGACAAAAAUUACAAGUGAAAAUACCACCUUGCAGAAGUGUUUGGUGUUAUCUACUGUGGUUGAAUACAUGCUCAUACUAUGACCCAACAUUCGUACUUCUGAGUGUGUACCCAACAGAAUUGCACCAAAAGAUGUGUACAAGAAUGUUCACAGCAGCAUUAUUCAUAAUAGCCAAAUCCCAGAAACUACACAAAUGACCAUUGAUAGUAGAAACAAUAAACAAAUUAUGGCAUUUUUACACAAUGGAAUAAUAUAGAGCAGUUAGAAUAAAGGAUCUGCAGCUAAAUACAAUGGCAUGGAUAAAUCUCAACAAAUAUUGUUGAGCAAAAGAAGCCAAGCACAAAAAAUUUCACACUGUAGGAUCCCAUUUAUAUAAAGUCCAAAAACAGGCUAAACUAGUCUAUGGUGUUAGAAGUCAGGAGAGUUUUUACUCUUGGGAGAGGUGCAGUUCCUAGAAAAGAGCACAAGGGAGGCUCCUGGGGUAGUGAUUAGAGAGGUUCAGUUUGUGUGUUCAACUUGUGAAAAUUCACUGAGCUGUGCACUUAUGUGCACUUUUUGCAUAUA
ensembl:lncRNA COP1-DT COP1 divergent transcript